rnacentral:rRNA from 1 species
CCUACGGGACGCAGCAGUGAGGAAUAUUGGUCAAUGGGCGUAAGCCUGAACCAGCCAAGUCGCGUGAGGGACGACGGCCCUACGGGUUGUAAACCUCUUUUGCCGGGGGACAAACGGCGGCACGCGUGCCGUCCUGAGGGUACCCGGAGAAAAAGCAUCGGCUAACUCCGUGCCAGCAGCCGCGGUAAUACGGAGGAUGCGAGCGUUAUCCGGAUUUAUUGGGUUUAAAGGGUGCGCAGGCGGAUUUUUAAGUCAGCGGUCAAAUCGUGGGGCUCAACCCCCUCCAACCGUUGAAACUUGGGAUC